rnacentral:rRNA from 1 species
GRGCGGCAGCACCUCGGGUGGCGAGCGGCGCACGGGUGAGUAACGCGUAUGUAACCUGCCCAUGAGUGGGGGAUAGCCCGGUGAAAACCGGAUUAAUACCGCAUAAUACCAUUAUCUGACAUCAUUCAAUGGUUAAAGAUUCAUUGCUCAUGGAUGGACAUGCGUUGGAUUAGCUAGUCGGCGGGGCAACGGCCCACCGAGGCUACGAUCCAUAGGGGUUCUGAGAGGAAGGUCCCCCACAUUGGUACUGAGACACGGACCAAACUCCUACGGGAGGCAGCAGUGAGGAAUAUUGGUCAAUGGGCGGAAGCCUGAACCAGCCAAGUCGCGUGAAGGAUGAAGGCAUUAUGUGUUGUAAACUUCUUUAGCUGUGGAGAAAUAAGGUGCUCGUGAGCACCGAUGCUAGUACACAGAGAAUAAGGAUCGGCUAACUCCGUGCCAGCAGCCGCGGUAAUACGGAGGAUCCGAGCGUUAUCCGGAUUCAUUGGGUUUAAAGGGUGCGCAGGCGGUGCCUUAAGUCAGCGGUAAAAUCGUGGGGCUCAACCCCAUCCCGCCGUUGAUACUGGGGCACUUGAUUACGGUCGAGGCAGGCGGAAUUCGUCGUGUAGCGGUGAAAUGCAUAGAUAUGACGAAGAACACCGAUUGCGUAGGCAGCCUACCAGGCCGUUAAUGACGCUCAUGCACGAAAGUGCGGGGAUCGAACAGGAUUAGAUACCCUGGUAGUCCGCACAGUAAACGAUGAAUACUUGCUUUCGGCGAUACAUUGUCGGAGGCAAAGCGAAAGCGAUAAGUAUUCCACCUGGGGAGUACGCCGGCAACGGUGAAACUCAAAGGAAUUGACGGGGGCCCGCACAAGCGGAGGAACAUGUGGUUUAAUUCGAUGAUACGCGAGGAACCUUACCCGGGCUUGAACUGCAGGGGAACGAUCCAGUGAUGGUGAGGUCAGCAAUGACUCCUGUGGAGGUGCUGCAUGGUUGUCGUCAGCUCGUGCCGUGAGGUGUCGGCUUAAGUGCCAUAACGAGUGCAACCCUUUUCUCUAGUUGCCAUCAGGUUAAGCUGGGCACUCUGGAGAUACUGCCACCGUAAGGUGUGAGGAAGGUGGGGAUGACGUCAAAUCAGCACGGCCCUUACGUCCGGGGCUACACACGUGUUACAAUGGGUGAUACAGAGAGUUAGUCGUGCGCAAGUACGGUUUAAUCAAGAAAGUCAUCCUCAGUUCGGAUUGGGGUCUGCAACCCGACCCCAUGAAGCUGGAUUCGCUAGUAAUCGCGCAUCAGCCAUGGCGCGGUGAAUACGUUCCCGG